rnacentral:rRNA from 1 species
GAAUUACUGGGCGUAAAGGGCUCGUAGGUGGUUUGUCGCGUCGUCUGUGAAAUUCCGGGGCUUAACUCCGGGCGUGCAGGCGAUACGGGCAUAACUUGAGUACUGUAGGGGUAACUGGAAUUCCUGGUGUAGCGGUGAAAUGCGCAGAUAUCAGGAGGAACACCGAUGGCGAAGGCAGGUUACUGGGCAGUUACUGACGCUGAGGAGCGAAAGCAUGGGUAGCGAACAGGAUUAGAUACCCUGGUAGUCAAGGGCG